rnacentral:lncRNA from 1 species
CAGAGCCACAGCUCUGCUUCCUAGCCAGGCAUGCGCGAGCUGCGCGGCGCCCCGCCCCUGCGGAGCAGCCGGCGGGGGCGCGCGGUGAUUCUGUAAAGUGCACUGGAUCAGAAGGGAGCAUUCAUCAGUUCAGGAUGAAAAGGGAAGUAAGAACAUAAUGGAACAAGAAGUCUCCCCAUACAACUUCCCAUGUGAGUCCUGGAGCAGGUCUGCUGCCUUGCUCCGAAGAAUGUGGACUUCACACUUGCUUCACUUCAGCUUGAUCUUCCUAAAGCUUAGACUUAAAGGAGACUCUUCAUUCCCUGCCUCUUGCAACCCAGGACUUUUAAAGAUAGAACAGCUUUGCUCUGUAACAGGAUACAUCAAAUCACUAGAUUGGUCCCCAGUUACCUAGCAGCCAGGAUGACAACUGAUGGGGAGGAGAUAGACAGAUGUGUGCUCAUUUUACAGGUUUUUCUGAAGCACAUAAUAGCAGAAUUUGUAAGAAACAGUUUGCUGGACUAGAGGGAUCCCAGCUUUGACUCACUAUAACUUUCCCUCUAAAGGAACCCAGAAACAGUUAAAGAAAACUUCUAGAAGUUGGAGGGGUUUUUUUUAAAUAUUUAAGCUGCCUGAAUUACUUUUGCAGAGCUUGACGAAAUUAUUAACCAAAGGCCACAUGCUCAAUAAGUGUCUUCCGUAUGGAGAUUAAGUCACCAUCAACAUGAAACAGAGACAAAUCCUGUUCUAAAGGCAGGCUUUCAUGCAGUUCAACUAACAUUUGAAUCAUUCACACUUAAUAUUAAUCACUGAUAAGUGAAGGGCAAGGGGGACAAAGAGUCAGCAGGAAGGAGUACUGGGGGGCACAUUUAUAGCUAGCUUAUGAAUUUGGAUAUGGGGAAGAUGGAAA